rnacentral:tRNA from 1 species
GGGGGUAUAGCUCAGUUGGCUAGAGCGCUUGCAUGGCAUGCAAGAGGUCAGGGGUUCGACUCCCCUUACCUCCAC